AGUAUUUGUGUGAGACUUUGCUGAACUUGUGAUCAAAAACUUAAAGGCAAGUACAAAAAAAAAAUCCUCUUUGGCAAUUCUGAAUUCAGUGUUCAGCAUGAGUUUUAUUUGCAUAAGAAGACAGU